UACGUGGGUGGCAAGCGUUGUCCGGAAUUAUUGGGCGUAAAGCGCGCGCAGGCGGCCUCUUAAGUCUGAUGUGAAAGCCCCCGGCUCAACCGGGGAGGGCCAUUGGAAACUGGGAGGCUUGAGUAUAGGAGAGAAGAGUGGAAUUCCACGUGUAGCGGUGAAAUGGCGUAGAGAUGUGGAGGAACACCAGUGGCGAAGGCGACUCUUUGGCCUAUAACUGACGCUGAGGCGCGAAAGCGUGGGGAGCAAACAGG
rnacentral:rRNA from 1 species